rnacentral:rRNA from 1 species
GACGAACGCUGGCGGCGUGCUUAACACAUGCAAGUCGAACGGAAAGGCCCUUCGGGGUCCUCGAGUGGCGAACGGGUGAGUAACACGUGGGUGAUCUGCCCUGCACUUUGGGAUAAGCCUGGGAAACUGGGUCUAAUACCGAAUAGGACCACGCGCUUCAUGGUGUGUGGUGGAAAGCUUUUGCGGUGUGGGAUGGGCCCGCGGCCUAUCAGCUUGUCGGUGGGGUAAUGGCCUACCAAGGCGACGACGGGUAGCCGGCCUGAGAGGGUGACCGGCCACACUGGGACUGAGAUACGGCCCAGACUCCUACGGGAGGCAGCAGUGGGGAAUAUUGCACAAUGGGCGCAAGCCUGAUGCAGCGACGCCGCGUGAGGGAUGACGGCCUUCGGGUUGUAAACCUCUUUCAAUAGGGACGAAGCGCAAGUGACGGUACCUAUAGAAGAAGCACCGGCCAACUACGUG